GACGAACGCUGGCGGCGUGCUUAACACAUGCAAGUCGAACGGAAAGGCCCUGCUUUUGUGGGGUGCUCGAGUGGCGAACGGGUGAGUAACACGUGAGUAACCUGCCCUUGACUUUGGGAUAACUUCAGGAAACUGGGGCUAAUACCGGAUAGGAGCUCCUGCUGCAUGGUGGGGGUUGGAAAGUUUCGGCGGUUGGGGAUGGACUCGCGGCUUAUCAGCUUGUUGGUGGGGUAGUGGCUUACCAAGGCUUUGACGGGUAGCCGGCCUGAGAGGGUGACCGGACACAUUGGGACUGAGAUACGGCCCAGACUCCUACGGGAGGCAGCAGUGGGGAAUAUUGCACAAUGGGCGGAAGCCUGAUGCAGCAACGCCGCGUGCGGGAUGACGGCCUUCGGGUUGUAAACCGCUUUCGCCUGUGACGAAGCGUGAGGGACGGUAAUGGGUAAAGAAGCACCGGCUAACUACGUG
rnacentral:rRNA from 1 species